rnacentral:rRNA from 1 species
AUUGAACGCUGCGGCAGGCUUAACACAUGCAAGUCGAGCGAGCGGCGGACGGGUGAGUAAUGCUUAGGAAUCUGCCUCUUCGUGGUGGACAACAUCUCGACAGGGAUGCUAAUACCGCAUACUACUAGCUGAGCCUACGUCGGAUUAGCUAGUUGGUGGGGUAAAGGCCUACCAAGGCGACGAUCUGUAGCGGGUCUGAGCGGAUGAUCCGCCAAACUGGGACGGAGACACGGGCAAGACUCCGACGGGAGGCAGCAGUGGGGAAUAUUGGACAAUGGGGGGAACACUGAUCCAGCCAUGCCGGGUGUGGGAAGAAGGGCGUAUGGUUGUAAAGCACUGUAAGCGAGGAGGCGUUACUCGCAGAAUAAGCACCGGCUAACUCUGUGCCAGCAGCCGCGGUAAUAC